rnacentral:rRNA from 1 species
AAAGGGUGCGUAGGCGGCCUGUUAAGUCAGGGGUGAAAGACGGUAGCUCAACUAUCGCAGUGCCCUUGAUACUGAUGGGCUUGAAUGAACUAGAGGUAGGCGGAAUGAGACAAGUAGCGGUGAAAUGCAUAGAUAUGUCUCAGAACACCGAUUGCGAAGGCAGCUUACUAUGGUCUUAUUGACGCUGAGGCACGAAAGCGUGGGGAUCAAACAGGAUUAGAUACCCUUGU